CACACUAACACACAUCACACGUGCUAAAACACAUCACACAAGCACACAUCACACACACUAACACAUCACACACACGAAAACACAUCACACAAGCACACAUCACACACACUAACACAUCACACACACAAAAACACAUCACACAAGCACACAUCACACACGCUAACACACAUCACACACUAACACACAUCACACACUAACACACAUCACACGUGCUAAAACACGUCACACAAGCACACAUCACACACACUAACACAUCACACACACAAAAACACAUCACACAAGCACACAUCACACACGCUAACACACAUCACACAAACACACAUCACACACACUAACACAUCACACACACAAAAACACAUCACACAAGCACACAUCACACACGCUAACACAUCACACACUAACACACACAUCACACGUGCUAAAACACAUCACACAAGCACACAUCACAC
rnacentral:lncRNA from 1 species